CUGGAUUUUCUGCUGAAACUGGUAAUGGGAGAAACAGGAUUGAAUAAGGAAAUCUACACUAGAUGCUGGGAUUUACAUCCCCAGCCCGUCACUCAAACUGCCUCCUUCCACAAGGACUGAGAUGCCAAACUUCCCAGGCUCACUACUCUCAGGAUGAUAGAACUAAUACCCCCAACUGCUUGGCCUGCCCUCACAAACAGCACUUGCCAUUGUCAUCUAGAAAGCCACAUUCCUCACCAGAGCCUUCACUUGCUGCCUGGCUGGUCCUUGACAUGCUCCUCCAAUCUGGAUGUUUCUCUUGCCAUAGCGGAAACCUGAAUCUUGUUAAAUGGAGAUGGGCAAUACAGGCAAUGGAUCCUUCAGGUCUCCUUCUUCCAAGCAAAUGUAGCCCUGGGAACACUUUCAUUGAAAAGAAAGAAGAGACAAAGUGACUGGUGACUGGUGAUACAAAAUCAGAAUAGGGAUAUUGGUAUUUUAUCUUCCAAUAUGUCUUCUGGACUUCUUGGUGAUACUACUAAUCAGGCGGGAGUGCUGUUGUCCCAUAUACUGCAUUUGUAUGACUCAGAAAAAGAAGCCCAUUCCUCCAGGAAGAAUCAGCCUUGGGCAUCUUGCUUGAGGAGGAGAGCAUGGGCUCAAUUUCUAUUGCAGUGACUAGCUUCUCCAACCCAAACCAGCUACUCUUCUCCAAUGAACAACCUGAACAUCCACACAUGGUGGACCUGUGAAUAGACCUUUGUUUUACAAGUUGCUGUGACUGAAAUGGCUGUGAAAUGAGGACUAAACUGACCGCAAGCAUUGUGCACAAUGAGGUAUACUUAAGGGGAUGUGUGUGUGUGUGUGUCCUGGUAAAUAACUGAAUUGCCAAAGAUGUCUACAGAAGUCCAAGGUGGGUAACAAGAAUGAGAACCAACAAAGGCAGCAUCUCCUAAAAUGUGUUUAGCAGGACCAACUUACCAGGAGAUAAUGAAAAAGCAAGAGGUGGACCUCAAGUCAUUAGGAGAGAAGAAAAUUAAAACCAGACGAUUGGCCCACUGGUGAUAAGUUGCCUGGAAUAAUCAGAGAAUUUGAAGGCUGGCUUGGUUAUCCCUGGAAUCUGGCCCAAUUCUGGUUUAUAGCAAAUGUUGUUAACUAGGGGGUCCAUCAGUGACCUUCAGGGGACCUGUGAACCUCCUGAAAUUACAGUAUUAUUUUGCAUGUAUGUGUGCAUACACACUUUUGCUGUGGAGGGUCUUAGCAGUCAUCAGAUUAUCGGAUUAAGAACUGGUCUCGGCCAGGCACGGUGGCUCACGCCUGUAAUCUCAACACUUUGGGAGGCCGAGGCAGGCGGAUCACCUGAGAUCAGGAGUUCGAAACCAGCCUGGCCAACAUGGCGAAACCCCAUCUCUACUAAAAAUACAAAAAUUAGCCGGGUGCGGUGGUGGGUGCCUGUAGUCCCAGCUACUAGGGAGGCUGAGGUGGGAGAAUAAUUUGAACCCAGAAGGUGGAGGUUGCAGUGAGCCAAGAUCCUGCCAUUGCACUACUGUCACCUGGGCGACAGAGCGAGACUCCGUCUCAAAAAAAAGAACCGGUCUCAAGAUACACAGGUGACCCAGCUGGGUGGGUCAGAGUGCAUUUUGUUGAACAUGGA
rnacentral:lncRNA from 1 species